UCAAGGUGUCUAUGAUAAUUGAAUAAAGCAUCUUCUCGAACAAGUCCCUCUACUGCCAUGAUUAUAGAUUCUACUACCUUUACAAACUCAAGUCAAAACAUACACCAUCGUCUUCGAAUGUCACCA